rnacentral:rRNA from 1 species
GAUGAACGCUGGCGGCGUGCCUAAUACAUGCAAGUCGAACGGGGAUAGCAAUAUCCUAGUGGCGAACGGGUGAGUAACACGUAGGUAACCUGCCUUUUAGUUUGGGAUACCCAGAGGAAACUUUGGUUAAUACCGGAUAUGAGUCUUAGAGGCAUCUCUAGGAUUUGAAAGGGGCUUCAAAGCCCCGCUUUAAGAUGGACCUGCGGCGCAUUAGCUUGUUGGUGAGAUAACAGCCCACCAAGGCUCGGAUGCGUAGCCGAUCUGAGAGGAUGAACGGCCACAUUGGAACUGAGACACGGUCCAAACUCCUACGGGAGGCAGCAGUAAGGAAUUUUCGGCAAUGGGGGAAACCCUGACCGAGCAACGCCGCGUGAGUGAUGAAGGUCUUUUGAUCGUAAAACUCUGUUGUUAGGGAUGAACUAUACUUCUAGGAAAUGAGAAGUAUUUGACAGUACCUAACCAGAAAGCCACGGCUAACUACGUGCCAGCAGCCGCGGUAAUACGUAGGUGGCAAGCGUUAUCCGGAAUUAUUGGGCGUAAAGAGUGAGCAGGCGGCAGUUUAAGUCUGGAGUGAAAGCGUGAAGCUCAACUUCAUACAGCUCCAGAAACUGAACAGCUAGAGUACGGGAGAAGUAAGUGGAAUUC